CCCUUAGAUGUUCUGGGCCGCACGCGCGCUACACUGAUGCAUUCAACAAGCCUAGCCUUGACCGAGAGGUCCGGGUAAUCUUUGAAACUGCAUCGUGAUGGGGCUAGAUUAUUGCAAUUAUUAAUCUUCAACGAGGAAUGCCUAGUAAGCGUGAUUCAUCAAAUCGCGUUGAUUACGUCCCUGCCCUUUGUACACACCGCCCGUCGCUCCUACCGAUUGAAUGGUCCGGUGAGGACUCGGGAUUGUGGUUUAGCUCCUUCAUUGGGGCCUGACUGCGAGAACUUGUCCGAACCUUAUCAUUUAGAGGAAGGUGAAGUCGUAACA
rnacentral:rRNA from 1 species